rnacentral:rRNA from 1 species
UUGAUCCUGGCUCAGAACGAACGCUGGCGGCAUGCUAACACAUGCAAGUCGGACGCCGCAGUCGCCUUCGGGCGGCAUGUUGNGUGGCGGACGGGUGAGUAACGCGUAGGAACCUACCCUGNAGUGGGGGACAACCGCUGGAAACGGCGGCUAAUACCGCAUACGCCCCAAGGGGGAAAGGCUUCGGCCGCUUUCGGAGGGUCCUGCGUUCGAUUAGCUAGUCGGUGAGGUGACGGCUCACCGAGGCGACGAUCGAUAGCUGGUCUGAGAGGAUGANCAGCCACACUGGGACUGAGACACGGCCCAGACUCCUGCGGGAGGCAGCAGCAAGGAAUUUNGCGCAAUGGGCGAAAGCUGACGCAGCAACGCCGCGUGGGGGAAGAAGGCCUUCGGGUUGUAAACUCCUUUUGCGAGGGACGAAGAUCUGACGGUACCUCGCGAAUAAGCCACGGCUAACUACGUGCCAGCAGCCGCGGUAAUACGUAGGUNGCGAGCGUUGUCCGGAUUUACUGGGCGUAAAGCGCGCGCAGGCGGACCGGUCAGUCCGGGGUGAAAUCUCACGGCUCAACUGUGAGGGGUCCCCGGAUACUGCCGAUCUCGAGGCGCUAGAGGAGAGUNGAAUUACCGGUGUAGUGGUGGAAUGCGUAGAUAUCGGGAGGAACACCAGUGGCGAAGCGACUCUCUGGGGGUGGCUGACGCUGAGGCGCGAAAGGUGGGGGAGCGAACCGGAUUAGAUACCCGGGUAGUCCACGCCGUAAACGAUGAGCACUAGCUGUCGGGGGUAUCGACCCCCUCGGUAGCGCACUAACGCGAUAAAGUGCUCCGCCUGGGGACUACGGCCGCAAGGCUUAAACUAAAGGAAUUGACGGGGGCCCGCACAAGCAGCGGAGCGUGUGGUUUAAUUCGAGCUACGCGAAGAACCUUACCUGGGAAUGACAUGUUGGUAGUACGGAAGCGAAAGCGGAAGGACCUUCGGGGAGCCAUCACAGGUGCUGCAUGGUUGUCGUCAGCUCGUGCCGUGAGGUGUUCGGUUAAGUCCGCAAACGAGCGCAACCCUCGGUGCUAGUUAUACGUGUCUAGCAUGACUGCCCGUGACAAACGGGAGGAAGGUGGGGAUGACGUCAAAUCAGCAUGGCCUUAAUAUCCAGGGCGACACACACGCUACAAUGGUCGGUACAAUAGGUAGCGAAGGGGCGACUUGGAGCGAAUCCUUCAAAGCCGAUCUCAGUCGGAUUGCAGGCUGCAACUCGCCUGCAUGAAGUCGGAGUUGCUAGUACCGCGAAUCAGCACGUUGCGGUGAAUACGUUNCCGGACCUUGCACACACCG